GGUCAUGAACUGAUCUGUCCGUGCAGAAGCGGACAUAUUAACACAAGACGAGAAGACCCUAUGGAGCUUUAGACGCCCACCAACCGCGAAAAGCAGCCUACCUUAACAGAUGCUCUAAACAACGCGGUCCUGGUACAAACGUCUUCGGUUGGGGCGACCGCGGAGGAGAACAAAGCCUCCGAGAGGAAUGGGAACAAACCCUAAAACCAAGAGCCACAGCUCUAAGUCACAAAAAAUUUGACCGACAAUGAUCCGGCUUACUGCCGAUCAACGGACCAAGUUACCCUAGGGAUAACAGCGCAAUCCCCUCCCAGAGUCCAUAUCGACGAGGGGGUUUACGACCUCGAUGUUGGAUCAGGACAUCCUAAUGGUGCAGCCGCUAUUAAGGGUUCGUUUGUUCAACGAUUAAAGUCCUACGUGAUCUGAGUUCAGACCGGAGUAAUCCAGGUCAGUUUCUAUCUGUGAAGCUACCCUUCCUAUAAGCGAAGGACCGGAAUGAUGAGGCCCAUGCUACCAGCACGCCUCCCCCCAACCUGAUGAAGACAACUGAAUCAGACAAAGGGGGGCUACCCCCGGCCCAAGAGAAGGGCCG
rnacentral:rRNA from 1 species